GGGUACAGCUCAGUUGGCUUAGAGCAUCCCGCUUUUUCAGCGGGAGGGUCCUUGGUUCGAAUCCAAGUGUUCCCA
rnacentral:tRNA from 2 species